rnacentral:rRNA from 1 species
ACGGGAGGCAGCAGUGGGGAAUAUUGGGCAAUGGGCGCAAGCCUGACCCAGCAACGCCGCGUGAAGGAUGAAGGUCUUCGGAUUGUAAACUUCUUUAAUCGGGGAAGAAAAAAUGACCUACCCGAAGAAUAAGCCACGGCUAACUACGUGCCAGCAGCCGCGGUAAUACGUAGGUGGCAAGCGUUAUCCGGAUUUACUGGGUGUAAAGGGCGUGUAGGCGGCUCUGCAAGUCAGAAGUGAAAUUCCCGGGCUCAACCUGGGCGCUGCUUCUGAAACUGCAGAACUUGAGUACUGGAGGGGAAAGCGGAAUUCCUGGUGUAGCGGUGAAAUGCGUAGAUAUCAGGAGGAACACCGGUGGCGAAGGCGGCCUGCUGGACAGAAACUGACGCUGAGGCUCGAAAGCGUGGGGAGCAAACAGGAUUAGAUACCCUGGUA